AUUGAACGCUGGCGGCAUGCUUUACACAUGCAAGUCGAACGGUAACAGGCCGCCAGGUGCUGACGAGUGGCGCACGGGUGAGUAAUGCAUCGGAACGUGCCCAGUCGUGGGGGAUAACUACUCGAAGGAGUAGCUAAUACCGCAUACGAUCUAUGGAUGAAAGCGGGGGACCGUAAGGCCUCGCGCGAUUGGAGCGGCCGAUGUCAGAUUAGGUAGUUGGUGGGGUAAAGGCUCACCAAGCCAACGAUCUGUAGCUGGUCUGAGAGGACGACCAGCCACACUGGGACUGAGACACGGCCCAGACUCCUACGGGAGGCAGCAGUGGGGAAUUUUGGACAAUGGGCGCAAGCCUGAUCCAGCAAUGCCGCGUGCAGGAAGAAGGCCUUCGGGUUGUAAACUGCUUUUGUACGGAACGAAACGGCUCUGGUUAAUACCCGGGGCUAAUGACGGUACCGUAAGAAUAAGCACCGGCUAACUACGUG
rnacentral:rRNA from 1 species